GUGACUUUUUAUCUCACAAUUCUUAUUUUUAAAUCACAAUUCUGACUUCUUACAAUUUCGAGUUCACAUCUCGCAAUUCUGUUUUUUUUAAUCAUUAUUUUAUUUGUCUCACAAUUCUAACUUUUUGUUUGUUUGUUUGUUUGUUUUUUCCUGGAGAACUGUGAAAAAAGCCAUAACUGUGAGAUAUAAACUCAUAGUCAAGAAAAAAAAAGUCAGAAUUGUGAUAUUAAAAGUUGCAAUUUUAUUUUCUAAAUCCUGUGGUGGAAACAAGCUGAAAUUGUAAUUCGCUUAAAAUAACUAUUUAUUGUGCAUUAUAUAUACUGUAUAUAGUUAUUGUUGCAUUACAAUAAUGAGCGUAAUUUGUUUGUUGCAUUACAUAAUGAGAAUUUAUGAGAAAUUUAUAAUUGUCACGAAAAUGAUGUUUCGGUGCAAAAACUCUUGAUUCUAAAUAAUAGACUUUAUGCAAAAUAUAAUAUCUUCAUUUACUUACUUGGGGUGAAUUUUGACCUGGACAUUUUCUAGACCGGUUUUGAAAGAUUUACCCUGCAAAUGCAUGUUGAUAAUGCAGACUUUUACAGCUGUAGGAAGUAAUUUGUUCUUUAGAUAAAGAUUAUUUGUACAUGCAGUACGUUUGAGAUGCUUUGACCAUGACUGAUUUAAUAUCAGUUGAAAUGGUGGCCUCUUCUUUUGAGGCUUGAUUUGAGUUUUUUUGUUGUAUAUUAAGGCACACAGGCUCUCUUUCUACCAACACAAUUAUCACAUAUCUGUUUAUGAAGCCACUUUUUUAACAAUUAUAAUUGAGAUGGCAUAACUGUUGUACCUCUACAUAUUGUGGAUUGUAUGGGAACUUACAAAAUAAGCACACACACACACACACACAUUCAAUACGUGUAUGAACUGCGACCCCAUGCACUGUGAGUUCAACGUGAUGUGGGAUUCAUGUCAACAAUAAUAAUAAUAAAUGUAAAAUGAUCAAAAUAUAAAUAUAUCUAUAUUUCAUGUAAAGUUAGUUACUACUGAAUACAUCUGUAACACGUAUAUGAAUGUAUUGUCAUGCUUUAAUGGACAUAUCCAACCAAUGCAUUUUACUGUAAAGCAAUAACAUGGGGAAAAAAAAUCUAAAUAUAUAUGUGAAAAGAAUGAUUCCUGUACAUUUAUCAUAUGAAUCUUUGAGAAAGGAAUGUUUAAAAUAUGUCACAAAUUAAACAAUGCCAUUUAUAUCUGUUUCAUAGUUUCUGUGGCCUGUGCCUUGUUUUAAAUGAGUUUUGUGU
ensembl:lncRNA